rnacentral:rRNA from 1 species
AUGAUAAUCAAUGAACAAGGUGAAUGGGAGUCUGAAAGUGACCCUGAAGGUGGCAAUAAUGAAGUGGAAGAGGAGCAAGAUUGGGAAGUAGGAGGAACUAUUUUAUCUCACGAAGAACUUCAUGGUGAAGCUUUGGUUGUAUGUCGUUCACUUAAUGCCCAAGUUGUGGAGGAGGAAAAGGGGCAGCGACAUAAUCUUUUCCACACCCGUUGCCUUAUCAACUCAAAGAUAUGUCGAGUGAUUGUUGAUAGUGACAGUUGCAACAAUAUUGCAAGCACUGAGAUGGUCGAGAAGCUUCAAUUGCAAACAAAACGUCACCCACCUCCAUACCGCAUGCAAUGGCUGAAUGAUUGUGGCGCAAUUAAGGUGAUUAGCAGCGUGCGAAUACCAAUUUCAGUAGGGACAUAUCAAGAUGAUGUUGUGUGUGAUGUGGUGCCGAUGCACGCUUGUCACUUGCUUCUUGGACGACCGUGGUUGCAUGACCGUGACGUGCAAAUCAGCGGGCGUGCAAAUCGCUUAUGUUUUGUCCACAGAGGAGAAAAGUUCACUUGGCUGCCCAUGACACCCGAGGAAGUCUAUCUUGAUGAGAUGAAGAGAAAAGGAAAGAAAAAAGGAGAGAGUGAUCAGACACAACGAGUGAGCCACCAACAUAGUGAGGGAGUGUUUCCACAGCCAAAUAUGACCAAGCCCCGGGAAAAAGAGGGAUUAGUUAUGACAGCUAGGAAAAGGGAUAUGCGGGAAUUGAGAGAACCUAAUACUACAUUCUUUGUACUCCUGUACAAGGAAACUUUAUUGGCUGCUAACGAUUUACCCUCAACUCUUCCUAGUGUUGUUCUUGAUCUUUUGCAGGAGUAUGAGGAUGUGUUUCCCAAGGAGGUACCACCUGGUUUGCCACCGAAGCGGGGCAUUGAGCACCAAAUCGACUUGGUUCCGGGCGCCCCACUACCAAACCGGCCACCGUAUCGAGCAAACCCAGAGGAGACGAAGGAAAUUUAG